AUGCAAGUCGAACGGUAACAGGUCUUCGGAUGCUGACGAGUGGCGAACGGGUGAGUAAUACAUCGGAACGUGCCCGAGAGUGGGGGAUAACGAGGCGAAAGCUUUGCUAAUACCGCAUACGAUCUACGGAUGAAAGCAGGGGACCGCAAGGCCUUGCGCUCAUGGAGCGGCCGAUGGCAGAUUAGGUAGUUGGUGGGAUAAAAGCUUACCAAGCCGACGAUCUGUAGCUGGUCUGAGAGGAUGAUCAGCCACACUGGGACUGAGACACGGCCCAGACUCCUACGGGAGGCAGCAGUGGGGAAUAUUGCACAAUGGGCGCAAGCCUGAUGCAGCAACGCCGCGUGAGCGAUGAAGGCCUUCGGGUCGUAAAGCUCUGUCAAGGGGAAAGAAGUGUAUUGUGGUUAAUACCCGCGAUACUUGACGGUACCCCUAAAGGAAGCACCGGCUAACUCCGUGCCAGCAGCCGCGGUAAUACGGAGGGUGCGAGCGUUGUUCGGAAUUAUUGGGCGUAAAGCGCGUGUAGGCGGUUUGUUAAGUCUGAUGUGAAAGCCCCGGGCUCAACCUGGGAAGUGCAUUGGAUACUGGCAGACUUGAAUACGGGAGAGGGCAGUGGAAUUCCUGGUGUGGGAGUGAAAUCCGUAGAUAUUAGGAGGAACACCGGUGGCGAAGGCGGCUCUCUGGACCGAUACUGACGCUGAGACGCGAAAGCGUGG
rnacentral:rRNA from 1 species